rnacentral:rRNA from 1 species
AUUGAACGCUGGCGGCAGGCCUAACACAUGCAUGUCGAGCGGUAGAGAGAAGCUUGCUUCUCUUGAGAGCGGCGGACGGGUGAGUAAUGCCUAGGAAUCUGCCUGGUAGUGGGGGAUAACGUUCGGAAACGGACGCUAAUACCGCAUACGUCCUACGGGAGAAAGCAGGGGACCUUCGGGCCUUGCGCUAUCAGAUGAGCCUAGGUCGGAUUAGCUAGUUGGUGAGGUAAUGGCUCACCAAGGCGACGAUCCGUAACUGGUCUGAGAGGAUGAUCAGUCACACUGGAACUGAGACACGGUCCAGACUCCUACGGGAGGCAGCAGUGGGGAAUAUUGGACAAUGGGCGAAAGCCUGAUCCAGCCAUGCCGCGUGUGUGAAGAAGGUCUUCGGAUUGUAAAGCACUUUAAGUUGGGAGGAAGGGCAGUUACCUAAUACGUGAUUGUUUUGACGUUACCGACAGAAUAAGCACCGGCUAACUCUGUGCCAGCCGCCGCC